CAUUGGAUGAGAAGGAAGGAUGGGUGGGAGGAAAAGUUUUAGAGGGAGGAGGAGACUGUAGGAGAGAGAAGAACCAGCGGAGAGAACGUGGAGGCUGAUGUUAAGAUUCCUCUCUGCACAUUUACAGCAACACUGGUUAGCUUUAAUUGUCACCCUGACAAAGCCAAGAGUCAUCUGAGAAGAGAAGCUUCAAUUGAGGACUUGCUCAGGAGGUCAUCAUGGGUGUUAAUUCAUACUGGAGGGUCCAGCCCACAGUGGGUGAUGUCAUCUAGAAUCUGAUUUAGCUUAGCUUGGAGACAGCACAUGAACAGUGCACCUGCUCUUAGAGGACACCCUCAGCUCACAUUUCACAAGGACUUGAGAGUUUUCUGGGCAUCCCUCCAUGAAUGGGGUCUCACUAUUCGUCGCUCAGCCUUGCCUUCUAAGUUAGACCGUGGAAAGUUUUGUGAAACUCGGGGUUUUGGGAGACUCCCUUCUCUGCCAUUGAAAGAAAGAAACCCAGCUGUGCAAACAGCAGACCUGUGAGGACAGACUGUGAGGAGAUGCGUGCCGGCUCUUCCUGGGAGGACGUUUGUCUGCCAUGCGCUAGGGCCCCUCAGCUGGGAGACCAAGGGUGGAGGUGACACCAGACUGGUGAUGGCUGACAGAAAAAGGACGAAAACGGCUGAGAACCAGAAGCUGAAGAAAGUAAGCCAUAUUGUCCGUCCCACCCCCACCUCCACCGUGUUAAUGUUAUCUGUUGGUUGGUUUGGGGGUUUUAGAGUUGUUUUGAGACAGACUCUCAUGUAGCCGAGGCUGGCCUUGAACUGCUCAUCCUCAUGCCUCACCCUCCCCAAUGAUAAGAUUAUAGGCAUGUGCUACGGUGUGCCAAUAAUUCUGUUCUUGAAACAGGGUCUUAACUAUGUAGCCAAGUCUGUGUUCUAGAGCUCAUGGUCUUCCUGCUUUGGCCUCUCAGGAGUUACAAUCGCAGGGCAGAGACCCACAUCCAACUUUCUCUCUUUUACCAUCUUUCCUUCUCCUUGUGAGAUCUCAGGCUUUAAGGCAAUGGCCAGGGUUUGAAUUUCAGGGCAUCAGAUAUUGUUCCUUUGCUCUGGGUAAUCUGCCUAACAUCUCUAGACCUCAGCUUCCUCACCUUCGAAGUGGGUAAAAUGAUGUCACAGUUGUAAGGUCUCUUCAGUGAGACCCUGAAUGGUCCCUUGUUGGCAGGGAGGGCUGUUUUCUGUUUCCGGUGCUGGGAACAGAAUCUAGGGCCUUGGUGGGCUGAAUCCCCAUUGCUGAGCUCAUAAACAUACAGAGCAGAUGGGGAUGCCUCUGGGCACCAGCUUGAGAGUCCGUCAACAGCUUUUCCCUCCUUUUUUCCUUUAGCUUCUUGAUCAUCCUGGAUCUGCCUUUCACACGGAUCUCAGCGGCACCGCAGCCAUUCUCGCACAAAGACUUCUGUGAGGUCGUAUGGGAUCCCUGUUAACCAUCUCCAAUUAGGCUAAGUAAGAAACUCAAUUUGGGGUUCUUUCAGAAAAACAGCUAAUUCAAUAAAGCCGGAUCGUGAUUUCCUAAGAA